rnacentral:rRNA from 1 species
AGUGAACGCUGGCGGUAGGCCUAACACAUGCAAGUCGAACGGCAGCACAGUAAGAGCUUGCUCUUACGUGUGUCGAGUGGCGGACGGGGGAGGAAUACAUCGGAAUCUACUUUUUCGUGGGGGAUAACGUAGGGAAACUUACGCUAAUACCGCAUACGACCUACGGGUGAAAGCAGGGGAUCUUCGGACCUUGCGCGAUUGAAUGAGCCGAUGUCGGAUUAGCUAGUUGGCGGGGUAAAGGCCCACCAAGGCGACGAUCCGUAACUGGUCUGAGAGGAUGAUCAGCCACACUGGAACUGAGACACGGUCCAGACUCCUACGGGAGGCAGCAGUGGGGAAUAUUGGACGAUGGGGGAAAGCCUGAUCCAGCCAUACCGCGUGGGUGCAGAAGGACUUCGGGUUGUAAAGCCAUUUUGUUGGGAAAGAAAAGCAGCAGGUUAAUACCCCGCUGUUCUGACGGUACCCAAAGAAUAAGCACCGGCUAACUUCGUG